rnacentral:rRNA from 1 species
UACAGAGGGUGCAAAGCGUUUAAUCGGAAUUACUGGGCGUAAAGCGUGUGUAGGUGGUUUGCUAAGUCAGGUGUGAAAUCCCCAGGCUCAACCUGGGAACUGCAUUUGAUACUGGCAGGCUAGAGUGUGGUAGAGGAUGGUGGAAUUCCCGGUGUAGCGGUGAAAUGCGUAGAUAUCGAGAGGAACACCUGCGGCGAAGGCGGGUUGCUGGGCUGACACUGACGCUGAUGCGCGAAAGCCAGGGGAGCAAACGGGG